GUAUUGUAUGAGAGGGGAGAAGGUUAGCACUCCCUUGACAGAACUGGAAGAGGCCCUUGGGCCUGACAACACCCACACGGUUAAGGCAUUGCCACCUAUUCGUGGCAUCUAACCACUGCUUUUG
ensembl:snRNA